CAAACGGCGACUGCUUUGCGGCUAGAGUUGCGAAAACAAAUAAAAACUAGGGCAGCGCGCUGGAACCCGUUUCCCUCCUUCUCGUCUCCUUGCUGACAGUUGCUGCCUGUGACGUGUCUGUGGCCUUCACCUGUCUGGCUGUGCACACCUGCGAACAAGGAAGAGAUGCUUCAUUCCUGUGCGAGAGAAACUCUGCUGAGGGACUUAACGUUGCUGGUAAACACUCUUUUCUUGAAAGCUGAUAUUUAAUGUUUUUAUCCGUCUCCUAGCAAUAUUUGCAGCUGAAACAAAUGUCGUAUCAACAUUUUUGAGUCAAAGCUCUUGAAGACUGUGAGGAACUUCAGAGCAACCUGACAAAUUCAGGUGGGUAGAUCAUUCAAAAUCAAAUAGAAUUAGUUAGUGAAAAUAAAAGGUGAUGGAUAUCCGUGGAAAUAGUUUGA
rnacentral:lncRNA from 1 species